GAGCUCAACCAAUUCAGCAAUAUGUUGACUGUAUCCCAGGGACAUCAUAUUCAUCAGCAAGACCCUGUGUAGUCCGCGUAGUAUCCAACAUUGAACCAGAGGCCGAACCUUCCCCUGCUCAUACACCACCGAGAGCGGAGGUAACGAGCCCUCUGCAAGCAGUUACCCCCUCUGGCUCGGGCAACUUUCCUGCUCGACGACGAUUGAACGUCGCGGGUCCAUCACCGCAUCGUACUACAAGGUCAUCGAGUCGUCCACAACAAAGGCAAAGAAAACGAUCACCUGCAUCACAAAGGCGGC